GGCAGUAUGGCCGAGUGGUCUAAGGCGGUAGGCUUGAAUCCCAGAAACGGAAAUUCCGGCAACGGAAAGUCCGAAAGGGAAAAGUUAACCUACUCUCUUCGGAGGCGUGUGUUCGAACCACACUGCUGUCG